GGUCCCUAUCUGCCGUGGGCGCUGGAGAACUGAGGGGGGCUGCUCCUAGUACGAGAGGACCGGAGUGGACGCAUCACUGGUGUUCGGGUUGUCAUGCCAAUGGCACUGCCCGGUAGCUAAAUGCGGAAGAGAUAAGUGCUGAAAGCAUCUAAGCACGAAACUUGCCCCGAGAUGAGUUCUCCCUGAGACUUUAAGUCUCCUGAAGGAACGUUGAAGACGACGACGUUGAUAGGCCGGGUGUGUAAGCGCAGCGAUGCGUUGAGCUAACCGGUACUAAUGAACCGUGAGGCUUAACCUUACAACGCCGAAG
rnacentral:rRNA from 1 species